AGCUUUUUGUUCCCCUAAAAAAAUUCCAUAUUCCCCCCACUUCCAGAAAUAAAACCAAAUCUUUCAAUGUCUUUUUUUGAUCCAUUUGGUCUGGGUCUUUAGUAGGGAAAAUUGUGCAAAUGACAACAGCUCAGUGAGAAGAGAGAAGCUGCUGGUUGUGCUGGACAGAGGACUCUGGGCAGCAAAAGGCUGAGUGGCUGCUGGUCAGAGGGAGUGUGACACACAUCUUGUCACUUUGCAGAGAGCAGCAGCUCCACUAGGCACCCUUCUGGAAACCGAGAGGUCAACGUCCCACACAGAGCAAUCUCCAACAGUUGUGCAUAACAGGCAAAAGAAUUUUAGAAGCAGUAUUCACCGAUAAAGAGAAUCACCAGCAAGGCUACAGAUAAUCAUCUGUGGGAAGUGGAAUUCCUUGACUUUGUUUACAGCCUCCAAGAAUCAAGGUCCUGGAGUUUAUCAGGAUGUCUCUGCAGCCACCAUCCACUGAAGGCAGCCUCCAGUAACCUCUGCAGGAAACUGCCACUAACAAGUCAGACAUGUCCAGGAACUGAAGUCUGGAAAAGCUUCUAACUUCAAGAUCUUUACAGUGUUUUCCUAAACUGGGAAGCUGACCUUUGUCUCUUGGAGUCAUUCUGGACAUUGCUGGCAUCGUCAGCUGUCCAACAAUUUUGAGAAAAUCAGUUCAUCCAUAGCUUCUGCACCAGCUACUUGCAUGGGAGAAGGACACUAUUAAAAUUCUCCCUGGAGAGCUGCUGAAUUUAGAACAGUGAAAAAAAACAGGAUGGUGCUGAGGAAAAGGAUUUUCUUCUAGUGGGAAAAAUGCUCAGAAGAACUUUUGUGACAGUGUAAAUGAGACAAAAAGGUUUUAGUUUCCUUGCUGAAGGUUUUUGGCAGCAAGAUGAGACCUCUGCACUGCAUACUUCAAAUAUGAGGGAAAACUGAACUGUGGAAGGGUCUAUUAUUUUUAUUGUCUAUAAAAAUGACUAAAGGUGACUUGUCCA